CGGCCGCAGUACCCUGACUGUGCUAAGGUAGCAUAAUAAAUUGACUUUUAAUUGGAGUCUGGAAUGAAAGGAAAAACGAGGAUAGACUGUCUUAUAGUUAGUUUUUUUAAAUUAAUUAAAAGGUGAAAAUUCCUUUAAAUAGAAAAUAGACGAGAAGACCCUAAGAAUUUUUAGAAAUAUUUCUUGUGUUCUUUUUACUGGGGCGGUAAAGGAUAAACAUCCUAAUUUUUCUUAUCAAAUUUUAUUUUACUUGAAUAAAUUACCUUAGGGAUAACAGCAUAAUUUUUAUUAUUUGUGACCUCGAUGUUGGACUAGGGAUUCUUAGAUUAACCGUCAAAAGAGUGAGUUCUGUUCGAACUUAUUUCCCUAC
rnacentral:rRNA from 1 species